ACAUUCAAGCUCAGGUUGGACAGGCUCUGAACAACCUGAUCUAGUUGAUGUUCCAACCCAGAUGGUUCUAUGAUCUGACCUACUUUACUUUGCAAACCUUUGAAUUUCAUAUAUCAAUACACAGAAAAGGCUAAAAUCCUCAUUCUCAAAGAAUAUGACUAUUAAAAUAGCAUCUGUUUCAACACUUCAAUACCAAGAUAAUGUUUGCAAUGUUUGUUUCUAAGACUGCAGUCUCAAGCAUACCUCAUUUGCAACUAUACCUUAUGUCCUUUUUAUAGCCUGUGGAAUGUCUGAAAUCCGGUCGCCCUCUCUAAAAUGUACCAUUUAAACUAUUUAUUAAAAUGUAUUAAAAGCACAAAAUAAAAAAAUAAUGAUAAAUAAUGUCACAAAAUACAUUUGUGGUUGUAACUUUCUGAUUUUCUAUUAAAAAGGCUACUAGACAAAUACAAUUAGACAAACACAGACUUCUAUGAAACAAAAGGCAGAAGGGUAGCCUAACCCUCCUAACAAAGCAGGAACUGGAAGAGAGAAAUUAUAAACCCUCUUUCAUUUUAAAUCUCCCUCUUUUAAUUUGUGAAACAUAAAUUCUUAGUUUAAGGUUCUUAAAUGAAACACCUGCAGAGAUUCUAUUUUUUAAGCACAUCUGUGUAAUCCAGUGCAAUAAUCACAAUUCACAUAUCAUUCUCAGCUGGGUCUCUUUGCUACCUCUGCUAGGUCUUUUCCAACCUUAAUGAUUCCAUGAUUCUAUGAUAGUGGAGGAAACACACAAGCGUGUUAAUUAACACCACGUGGGUGGCAAAUGCUGAGCUCUGGGCUGUCACAGAAAAAAAUAGCAGAAGCUAUUUGGUGUCCACGAGAUUGAAUUUAUGUUUCUCAGUAAUUGCUUUCUCCACUUAAAUUAUUUUUUAAUUUGAUACUAGAAGACAUAAAAAAAAAAGGACAAGUUCUUCCAGAUUAAAAUACUUCAGACAUGUCUGAACUUUCAGCCCUUGAUGUAUUCAAGAAUUUUUCUGUUUUCAAAUAAGCAACGAACUCAAACCCUCAGAGAUACUGACAGUUUUAAUGUAAAACAGUUCUAUUUUCUUUGCUAAAAGCUGGGAACUGAAGUAUACUACAUGUUUACCAGAUUCUGCAUUUAAGAUGUCCAGACAUACUGUAUAUACUCAGGAUAUGCACUGAGUCCUCAUUUUUGUUCCUUCUAGAGACAUUUCCUUCACACUUUAUUUUCUGUGAUAAAUACUGAUAAAGUGCUAUCUUAUUUUGGAUUUCUGUUUUGACUACAGUUUGAAAAGUUUAUUAGAAUUUAUCCCAGUGUAAGGAAGAAGAGGAAACCCUAUCAAAGAUGCCAACAAGACAUUUCUUACCCUCCCUUAAUGCUUAAAAAUUAGUAGUGUUAGCUUAAAUAUUCAUAAUAAAACCAAGAAACCUUUGAAACAAGUUGUCAAAAGAUAUAGUAGCAACAAUUCAGAGUUAAAGCUCUAUUAUUUUUUCAAAAUGUUGCUGUACAACUUCAGGUGAAAAAAUAAUGUGCUGCAAAAUCUUAGGUAUAUGCAUAAUUUUUUAAAUACUCUUAGUUCUUGCCUGAUUAUAAUUAUUCAUGUACAUGGGAAAUUGUAAGGUGAUGAAUGUCAAUAUGUACAGUAAAAAUAACUUUUAACUACAUGCAUAUGGCAAGGAAGGACUGUUGCUAAUCUUUUUGUAACAGCUUAAAUGAUCAUAAUUCUUGCUUUUGUUAAUGGCUUUUUCCUGCUUAACUGUUGAAAACAUUUUCGUACGGUAUGGUGGCCUUUCUCCAGGUUUACAGAAUAUUGUUUUCUUGUUUCAAGAGGGAAAAUUUACAUUAACUUUCAUAUAUAGUAAUUGACAUUUAUAGUGCAUGUGGGAUUGAUUACUUUACCACAUGAGAAAGCUGCAGCCUUAAAAUAUACAGAAUAUGAGACAAUAUCAUCAUGUUCCAAGACGUUAUUUCGUCUGUACUAUUAAAAGGUCCACUGCUGGUCAGUUUCAAUAUUCUUGAUAUCUGAAGUUUUUACUAUGAGAACAUACAUUAUGUCUUAAUGCACAGUCAUUUCUGAAUGUCCAUCAACAUUGUAUGUAUUGCUGUGUUGUUGUUUCACCUGUGUAAGUCUCACUGUGAAAUUUUGCCUGAAACUCUAGCAAAGACAUUGACAGUAAAAGUGUUACGAAAAAUGAAUUUUAAAGGUUUGUAAUCUUGGUCUGAACAAGUAUAUGACAUUUAUGACAAAUUCUGAGCUGCUUUUCCCAACCAAAAUUAUGUUUGAAAUUAGCCAGAUUAUUUUUCUGGAAAACAAGAAAAGUUGAAUUGGAAUUUUGUGCAAUAUUUUGGCUCUUAGCAUUGCACAAACUUUUGUUAUUUCCAGAAGCAUUAAAGUAAAGCUGUAUAGCAUGCAUCAAAAAUCGUAAAAUCAACACAAGAAUACUUUUUUUUUUUUAGUUUUUAAUGUGAGAACCUCCAUUAGCAUUACCUUAAAAGUUUUCAUUUCUUUUAGUAUAAAAAUUAUGGCAAUUCAGCUCACAACUUUUAGGUCAAAACUAUACCUUAAAUUCUGUUACAGUUUGAGGACAAAACCUGAAACAAACUUUAGCUGUGAUUCUCAGGAGGAACAUUUUUUAAGUAGUGAAAGGAGCACCAGCCUCAAUGAAGCAUAAGAUUUCCCCCAUCUGUUCUCUGACUGUAUAUGCAUUUCCCUUGUGAAUGUGUGUGUGUGUGUCCCAGUCUCCUUCCACCCCCAAAAUUCUGACAAUAAAAUUGAAGUAGCCUUCAUCUUAACAACUUCUAGCAAUAACCAGUUUUAUUUGUUCUUUGAAAAUUGAAAGGAAUCAGGUAACAAAAUUAUAGAAAAUAGUUAACUGAAGUUUCACAUUGUCAUGUUAGAAACACAAAUAUUUGAAAUGUGAUGACAGAGAAGGUCACAGCCACACUAUUAAAUACAGCACCAUCGAAGGCGGAGUGAGAAAGACACUUGCUGCAGGAUACCCUCUAAGUGGGUGCAGCAUAGAAGGAGGUGUCUUCAGGCCCUAUCAGACACUGCUCUUGCCCUUCCUGCUAGUUGGGAGAAGUUGGACACUCACAGUGUUUGGAUACCUGGUGGAGAGAAAGUGCUGGAAGAGUCCACAGAGGAAAAGGGUACUAAAAUAUCUCAGCACUGCCAAUAUGCCAUUUAUCCGUACUAAUGACAGCUGUAAAACUGACUGAUGGGCUCCCUGAAUAAUAUUUCUGUACAAUAGUUUGUUCUUUAUUUGUCAUAAACUUUAUUAAAUCCUAAAGCUUUGAUCUUGGACAUGAUUUUUCUUCCGUUAACCUUGAAAAUAUCUCAGAAAGAUUAGUAAGCAUUAUUAUCUUUUAUACACAAAAAAAUCACAUACCAAGUUUAAGGAUGUACAGGUUCUGUUCAGGGAGAGAGAGAGAGAGGUGAGGAAGUUGCUUUUUGCAGUUACCAGAAAACUGUUACUCCCCACCUGCAGGUGACCAUUAGCAUGGGAAGCAAAGGAUCACUUACUCUUUUUUCUGAGUUAACUUUAAAUCUAUCUUGGAGCAAAGAAACACACUACACUAUGUAAUUAAAUGAAUUCUAAGUCACUGAAAACAUAUGUUACAAAGGUGCUAAACAUGACUGCAAAAAAAGCUUCAUCUGAGUUAUAUUUCUGGUUAGUCAUUGGUGGUAGGUUACUUUCAACUGUAAGUUUAAACAUACAUGAUUAAUUAAAUAUAUAUCGCUCACAUUUUAUAUUUUCAUAUUGAGUAUGUAAAUGUUAAAGUUUAAUAGACAAUUAAAAGAUACAUUUUAGAUCUUGACUUCUAACUGCUUAUUCUUUAAGAUUUGGUAGAGUUAACAAUGCUAAUUUAAUUUAAUUUUAUUUGCACAGUUAUUGGAGAACCACUUUGCCAUACUUAAUUUCAUUUCAUGGAGAAAUCUUGUUUACAAUGGUCUCGAUUUUUUCUUUCUUCUUCUUUUUUUUAAUUAAAAAAAGCCAUGAUCCUUCUGGGACUCUGUGAAGGAUACCUCCUCUUCUAUUUUUAUAUGAUCUUCAGAGAGCUUUAACCUCUCCUACAUAUCACUGUCAGUUUUAUAUAAACACAUCUAUUUUGAUAACUUCAACAUGUCAUAAUCUUUUAGAGAGGGAGACAGGAAAAACAGCAUGAUCAGUAUUAUAUGAUAUUCAUUACAUGUCACUGAUGUACAUUUAACCUUUUUAUUCCAGGGCAUUAUUCAAAUAAGUCUGUGCCAGUUCUAGGAAACCUCUGCCUUCUGAGAUAUUUUAUUUUAAUUAUUCAAGACAACAUUGCAAUUCUACCAGUGAAAUGUUUAAUUUCUUCUCUCUCUCUCUUUUUUUUUUUUUUUUUUUUUUACUGCAUCCUAUCUAACAGAUGGCAGCUUGGGUAAAAGUGGGUAAAAUUGUUAUUGAUCAGAUGUGUACUGGAUUUCCUGAGUUUGCCAUUACAUAUUUCUAAAAUUCCUGAGGCUAAAGAAGAAAUAUGAGGUAGGACAAUUGCUCAAAAAUAGCAAAUGAGCCUUUCUGAAAUGAAGCACUGAGUGAAUACUAAAAUUAUAUGUUUGUGAGUUGUUCGUAAAUCAAGAUUUCUAAUAGGAUAAAAUGAGUUUGUGGUAGAUUCUGAUUUGACAUAGUUAUUACUGAUCCAGUGUCUGUAUUUCUCUUUACCAAAACCACAUUAAGAUAUGUGUAUGUGUAUUCCAUUAGACACUAGAGAUUCUACAUUUAUAAACAAAUACCCUGCUUUCUGUUGUUUUAAAGACAUUACAUUAAUAUAAUUUACUUGAAAUCUUACAUUUCUUCUGACUUAAGUACAGGGAUUGGUCUUAAGAGCUCAAAGGAACCCAAAAAAAAUGGAAAGAAGAGUAUCUCACUUAAUAUAUCUCUUUUUCAGUGUUCAGAUUCUUCUUCCAAAGAGUUAAUGAAGCUACACAGCUCCUUUAACCUGCUGAGAGUCAUUGAUCUGAUCUGGCUAGCCUGCAGGUUCACACAAAGAAGAUAGCUGGACAACAGCUGUUUUAUUAACAGCAGAGGACGGUUGGUUGCAGAAGAAAGGUGGAAGGUAGGAAUUUGAACUAUUUUCUACAAGGAAAGCUUUGCCAGAUUAUUUUCAACUGAUUCUAGCAAACCCCAGGGACACUGACUUGGAUGAGACAACUCAUGUGCGAUUCAGUAUCUUGUUCCAAGGAUGUAGUGUCAAUCCCCUGCUGGACACAGCCAAGUGGGUGAACAGUGAAGUCAUGAAAAAGGGAAAGAGCUUUGGAUAAUAAUAAAAAAAAAAGACUCAGGUGAGUUCAAAAGAGUUGUAUCCUUCGUUGGUGUAGAUUUUCACACUAUGGCACACAGAGGCUUCCUAGGAUGAGCAGCUGUAGAAUAAAGUCUUAGUGAAGAAUAAAACCUUAGUGGCAACAUCUAUCAUACUAUGUGAGCUGAGAAUAGCAGUUUCUGAAACCAUUAAAAAAUAACUGCAUGCCAGGACACUUUGGUAGAAGAAAUGCUAUGAUAAGACUGUGCCCCCGGCAUGGCUUCCCCUCAUCCUGCCCAUAGUCCAGAGCUCUGUGUCUGCCACAGGGAACAUCAGGCCCUGCCCAAGCAAUGUUGUUUCAUUGUGCAAGAUAUUCAAGAAAUGUACCCAUCUUGCCUUCAGCUAAUAAACAUACCUGUUUGAGUGUUUAACAAGCACACCAGGCAAAAAAAUAGUAGCUUAAUAAUUUUGCAACAAAGGAUACUGAUAUUUAUGAAGUAGACCAAUUAUUGCUUUUUUUUCAUCUUUAAUAUGCAUGUCCUGUCUUAAAUUUAGAUAAAAUUACUGCAUGUCAUAUACUUCAACCUGCUACUCAAAGCAGGGUUAGAUGAAAAUUGGAUCCAUCUGUGCUGGACCUUGUCUAGCUGAGUUUUGAAAGUUUCUAAGGUUGGAGAUUUCACAAUCCUUUUGAUGAUCUUAUUUCAGUGUUUAACCCUCUCAUUGUAAGAUUUCUUUUUUUAAAGUAAUGCAGUUUCAAAAUGUAAUGAUUUCAAAAGGUAAUGAAAAAGAAAACUGGAAAAAAAUGGGAAAAAAUUAUUAAUUAAAACAAGUAUUUCAAUUAUACAUUUUCUCACUGUUCAUUUUUGAAUGAAAGGAAAACCAAAAAAACACAAGAAUAAUAAACAAACCAAAUGCCCAAAUUAAAUGUUCGGAAUCAUUCUAGCAGAUAUUUUAUUUGAUUGCAAAAAAAAGUUUAUGUUUUUUUACUGUAAGAAAAAAAAUAUUUAGCCAAAAUUAAAAACCAGUUAUUCAUGCAAUCAUCUAGACUAUUUUGAUGCUACUUAUAUAUUACUCAAAGAAAAAUUGUGUUGCCUUCUGUGUCCAAGAGUGUAUAUGUUCUGGGUUGAUUAAGAAUAUAUUCUUAUUUUUUUUUUGUUAAUACUUUAACUUUGUAGUUCAGACUUAAAGAAUUGCUUAGUAGUCAGCAGAAGCAAGAUCAGUUUGUCAUAUUCACUUUACAGUUGUAAGAAACAGUAUUAGUAAAUCAGAGAAUUGGAAGACUUGCAAACAAGUGUCAAGAAAACUGCAGACGAUGUUCAAUAAGGGAAGGACUGCACAUAUGUUGAAAGACUAACAGAAAGCAAAAUGAUCAUGACAAACUGGAAAAAGUCGUCUUAAAAGAAUGUGAUAUUUAACAAAUAAAAUGGAAGAAUCACUCCAACAAUCUACUUCAGUAGUACAGAAUGGAGAAUUGAAAAGCUGUCAGAAGUGAAAUACUUCGGGAUUAUAAUGGCCAAUGAAAAGAAUUUUAACACAGUAGUAUUGUGCUCCAGAGCUACAGGUGAACAGCCUGUAGCAUAUGAAGAGGGUCAUAGUCUACAUAACAUAAAAUCUUCCCUCCUCUUCAAAAUUCAUUUGAAGUGGUGUGCAAGUUUGAAGCUCUGCUCUUCAUGAAAGAUAUGGAGUAGUUGCUGAGUGGAAAAAAGAGAAUUCUGAGACAAGACAUGGAUCUCUUCAGAAAGGAUACUGAUGAGAGGAAGUGAGCAAGGUGUUUUCCUCCUUAAACUUAGACUUAGAACACACUUUAAUUACAAUACCUUCUAGGUUAGGCCUAGCAAAAAAAUAUUACCUAAAAUCUUACCUUCCUGGAAAGUGAUGCUAUUAUGGCAAGUUUUACCAGAUGACUUAUUAGAAUCUGUAAUAUCUCUUCAUCAUUAUAAAGGGCAUUUUAUUAUUUUACUUUCUGAAAUAAAAUCUGUUUUCAGA